rnacentral:lncRNA from 1 species
AGGGAAGAACCCUAACAGAGAGUUUCUCUCACCUUAAAUUAUAACUAAACAUUUUGUAUAUUCCAUUCAUUUCCAAAUUAUUUAUACCUCUUUUACAGAAGAAAAAACAACCUAACUAAGUUUCUAAAUCUUUUGUUCCGAGUAACCAAUAGCCAUUCUAUUCUCAUUCUAAGCAAACAGUACAUGUGAGUAGCACCUCCCUCAUGUGGUUCUCCACUUGUUUUGUUCCAUCAUGUAAUGGCACAUUCAUUAGAUUAGUCAUCAUCUUUUGCAAACUUUCGGCGACCAAUUGUUGUGGACCAAUUGUUGUAAAAGCUGACAAUGAAAAAAUAAACAUCAUGAACAAAGGAUUUCUCGAGACAUGUAGAUCACUAUCUGUGAUGUAUCCUGCAAGUUCUCCAAGAUGCAAUAGGAACUUUUCAAAAUUUCUGAGGAUCUUAGAACUAGUCAGGAUUUCUAAAAAGAGAAUAAAAAUAAACCUAGAAUAUUUUUAGGAAAAGAAGAAAAAAAAAAGAAUGACAUUAAUUAGAGAAGAGUGGCUUUGAUGAUGUUUUCAAAAUGGAAGAAAGGCUCUAUUUAUAGAGCUAGAAAAGGAGUGAUCCAAGGAAAAGAUCUUGCGGAAGAAGCUUCAUGUGCCUUGCGGAUGAGUGAAACCACUCUUUGAAUGUGGAUAAUCCUGAGCGUGACUUUUGGAUGAGUGGUAUUUACCAUUUGAAGUUGCAACUUUCAAUGUUCCUUGCGGAACGUGAACUAAGAUGUUUUCAAAAUAGAAGAAAGGCUCUAUUUAUAGAGCUAGAAAAGGAGUGAUCCAAGGAAAAGAUCUUGCAGAAGAAGCUUCAUGUGCCUUGCGGAUGACGUGGAUAAUCCUGAGUGUGACUUUUGGAUGAGUGGUAUUUACCACUUGAAGUUGCAACGUUCAAUGUUCCUUGCAGAACGUGAACAACUAAACCAACUUAGAUAUUCACGUUUCGUAAGAAAGGUUGAAUGUUGCAACUUUAAGUGGUCAAUACCACUCAUCCGAAAGUCACGCUCAGGAUUAUCCACGUCCAAAGAGUGGUUUCACUCAUUCGCAAGGCACGGUUUCGGGAAGCUUCUUCUGCAAGAUCUUUUCCUUGGAUCACUCCUUUUCUAGCUCUGUAAAUAGAGCCUUUCUUCCAUUUUGAAAACAUCAUCAAAACCACCCUUCUCUAAUUCUCUUUUCUAUUAAUUUCAUUCUUUUUUUUUCUUCUUUUCCUAAAAAUAUUCUGGGUUUAUUUUUAUUCUUUUUAGAGAUUCUGGUUAGUUCUGAGAUCCUAAAAAAUUCUGAGAAGUUCCUAUUGUAUCCUGGAGACUUGCGUAAUACACUGCGGAUAAGUCCUAAAGGACAGUGACUUACAUGCCUCGAAAAAUCCUUUAUUUGUGAUCAUGGGCCCUCCAAUACCUUGUUUUGGGUCUUGGGCUUCCAUCUAGUUAUGGGUCUGAGCUUCAUGGUAAUUAAGAGCUUUAGCCUGGUCAAUGAUGUCCACAUCACUAGUGGGGAAUGGUUCAAAUAUUUAGUGAGGGAAUUUAUGUAAAAGAGAAAAUUCUGUUAUUGUUUUUAGCUGUUCAUUCUUCUGAGAGUGAUGUUUUAUCAAAAAAACUAUAGGGGACUAGGGCAUGGUGUGACUCAAACUUUCUUCUAUACUGUAUUUGAUUACGAUUUCUGUCAAUAUCUUCCUAAAUUGGUGGCCUGGUCCACAGGACUCAUAUCACUAAGAAGUGGGGGAAGGUUUGGAUGAGGGGAAUUGUUCUCUAUGUGUUGUGUGUCAGACCUUACCUAGUAUGAUAUUUGGCUUCUAUGUUAUUUUUGUUUUUUAUCAAAAUAUUUAUUCAGAUAACAAGAUUCCUUUAAUGAAGCAUAAUUUCUGAUAACAAGAUUCAGGUAACAAGAUUCUGACAAUUUCAGUAAGAUUUUGAGUUUGCAUUUUUUAUUGUUUACAUAGCACAUAUUCCGGAGCAAAAGGUGAAAAAUAAAAUAAUAAAGGCUUUCAUUUUUAUGAAGGCAUUUAGAGUUUGAUGUGCCAAGGAGUGACGGAUUGGAGUUUGGAAGACUGUCCCCUUGCUUUGAAGCAUUUAUUUUCUUUCUGUUUUUCCUUUUUUUUUUGUAUUCUGUCUUGUUUUUAUCCGAAUUCUAGGUAACUCUCUCCCCCUUAAUAGAGUUAAAAAUAAUAAUUCUCAUAGACAAAGCAAAUUAUGAAAUUAUAAUUCAGUCUAAUGAUCGGAAUGAUGCAUGCAUGUUUAUAUAAAUAAUAUUCCCUGUUGAUUUUCUUUUCAGUAUUAAGACUCUUCACUCUUUACUUGCUUUGUGUGUGUGAGGGAGGGCUAGGGGGCUGGUUAAGCUUUCCUCAAACCAACUUGGUGGGAGAUGAGAGAGAGAUGAAGAUAAGGUGUAACUAAAUAUGAACUGUGUAAUACACUUUUGAUUCACUUCAAUGGAUUCUUAAGUAAAUGCCCGAUUUCAUAUAAGUAUUGUAUUUUGGAGAUAUCGGACUAUGGGUGUGGUUUGGUGGGUAGUAAUGGUAGAUAUUUAUGAGCUAGGGUCUCAGAUAAUUUGUGUUUUUGUUGCUAGUGGUGGUGGAGGAAGAAUAGCAUGGGCUUAUUGAGAUGUUGUAUUGGAAGUGUGAGGUUUUGUUUGGAUCGGAGGUUAUUGGCUACAUUGGUUGAUGGAGAUAAAGUUUAUGGCUUUAGAUUUCAUUUGGUGGCUAUUGUUGGUUCAUCCACUAUGUUUGAUUUUUGCUAACGUGGAAGGAUUAUAUAGAAUGAAACUUUUAUCUGUAAUUGAUUUAGGCUUCUUUGGGAUUUUGCUUGCUUCCUUGAUUUUCACUAAUAUGGAGUGGUUGUAUGGAAUUAAAUUAUGAAUUUUAUAUUUUGAGAGUUAGAAGGACUUAAUUUGACCCUCCUUACAGGGUUUGGCCCUAACAGGCGAGAAAAAUUUACAGGACCAAAAAACUUCCCAUUAAAAAAGUCUACAGGAUCAAAAUAUCUACAAAAGUCCUGUAAUUCAGGAUCUAUCCAUAUGCCUUCUAUUUAGAAAAAAUAUUUAUUUUGAAUACAAGAAAAAAUACAAUUAAUUCUUAAUUUGUCGCAAAUUUAAGUGUUUUUAAUUUGUCAAAGAAUUAUAUACAAACAUUUUAAUUAGACUAACAUAAUGAUAUUGUUUUUAAGAGUUAAGUAAAGUCUUGUAUAGGACCAAACCCACCUUAACCUUGAUCUUAGUCCACUUGAGAAGGGAUUGGGUUUUUUUUUGGUCCUUACUUGAGGAGGCUUCCUAAAAAGGUCUUUUUCAAGGAUGAGCUAGAACUGACUCAUGAACUAUGGGUCAAGUUGACAACUUUUUGAACCUUUGACUUAAAUGCAAGAUAGAAAAAAUUUCAGGGACUCG